rnacentral:rRNA from 1 species
UACGGAGGGUGCAAGCGUUAUCCGGAUUUACUGGGUUUAAAGGGUGCGUAGGUGGAUAAGUAAGUCAGUGGUGAAAUCUCCGGGCUUAACCCGGAAACUGCCAUUGAUACUAUUUGUCUUGAAUACUUUGGAGGUAAGCGGAAUAUGUCAUGUAGCGGUGAAAUGCUUAGAUAUGACAUAGAACACCAAUUGCGUAGGCAGCUUACUACACGAUCAUUGACGCUGAGGCACGAAAGCGUGGGGAUCAAACAGG